GGGUCGAAAACAUUCCGAACGGCACCAUCUCGCCCACUCCACUCCACCAUGUAAUCUCUAGUUUGCAUAUCUCAGCCAGCCUCAAGAUAUUCUUUCUGAAGCUAACUGACAGAAAAAGAAAGAAGAAGCUUCUUAUUUUCAUACCAGAGUUCCAUGUUUGAAAUAUUCCACUGCACUCAAAAUAGAUUCCUUACCCUAUCUUCCAAGAAAACCAGUUUCUUUGUCACCAAAAAACACAUCUUUCUAUCUUCAUUUUCAUCUAAUUAUACUUUACAACUUCCAAAACCUUUACUUAAAUGUUCCAUUCCUGACAUUUGAAGAGCAAAGCCGUCAGUCAAAAGACACUAAAAUAAAAACAUCAUGAAAUCUUACAUCAUCUCCAAUUCUAAGUCUAACCCAUUUCUCAAAACCCUAUACCUUCGAAUUUUCUUGUUUUUUCUUCUUAUUCAGAUUCGCUCUUGUUUUUCUUCUUCACCAGCAC
rnacentral:lncRNA from 1 species